CCGAUGUGGAGAUUCCCAGAAGGUCACUCUCACCGGGCUCUGUCCAAGUGGCAUAGAGAAGCCCAGGGCUCUGGCCUGUGACGUACAGUCCUUUCCCAUGACAUCAGAGAUCAAGCCGGGCCCUGGGUCUGUGUCUGCAUAUUCCUACAGCCGCUCAGAGUCCUGUGGACGGUGACCGAGGAGACAAACCACGCAGGAAAUGGCC